GCGCUCACCCAUGAAGAGGCAGAAGAGGUCCAGGCAGAUGAGCAGCACCCGCUUGCUGCCGCCCUUCCUCGGGUUGUUGUUGAGCGCCGGGCUGCCGCCGUUCUUACUCUCAGGGACGAUCGCCUUGUCGUACUUGUAGCUUUGCAUGGCGCUGGCUGCGGGGAGCCUCCCGGGGCGAUGCGGGCCGCCGCUGCUCAGGAGCGGGUAUGCGGGCUCGGGACGCGGCGGCGAGAGUGCAGCCCGGCGGAGUAGUUCCAACUGCAGACGCGGGCAGCAAGGACUGCACCACAUGGUGGCUCAUAACCAUCUGUAAUGAGAUCUGAUGCCCUCUUCUGGUGUGUCUGAAGACAGCUACAGUGUGCUUAUAUAUAAUAAAUAAAUCUUU
rnacentral:lncRNA from 1 species